GAAAUGCGAUACGUAGUGUGAAUUGCAGAAUUCAGUGAAUCAUCGAAUCUUUGAACGCACAUUGCGCCCUUUGGUAUUCCAAAGGGCAUGCCUGUUCGAGCGUCAUUUGUACCCUCAAGCUUUGCUUGGUGUUGGGCGUUUUUUGUCUUUGGUUGCCAAAGACUCGCCUUAAAAGGAUUGGCAGCCGGCCUACUGGUUUCGCAGCGCAGCACAUUUUUGCGCUUGCAAUCAGCAAAAGAGGACGGCAAUCCAUCAAGACUUCCUUCUCACGUUUGACCUCGGAUCAGGUAGGGAUACCCGCUGAACUUAAGC
rnacentral:misc_RNA from 1 species